UGAAAGGAUGAAACGCCCUUGAAUGUGGCAGCGGUGCAGGUAAUGAGUCCCGAAAUUCUCAGAAAAUAGAAAGGGAGGCCAAACCUGCAGAUGUGGAUGGCAGUGAUGUGAAUGAUGGAGCAUCUACACAGAAAAGAUGCUGGAAUCCAGAAAUUUCUUCACCUGGGGCCUACUGGGGAUGGCAAUAAACCAAAAACUAACCAAGCUGUGGGAAUACAAACCUGUAGACCUUU